rnacentral:lncRNA from 1 species
UUUUUUUUUUUUUUUUUUGGUUUGCAGUAUUUCCUGGUCCAACAAUUAAUGUUAUUGGUGGUUGUAUACUGGCUAUAUACACUAGCAUACAAACAUGACUUGCAUUCGCACUAUGCUGCAUUUUUUUUUUUAUGGAUAGAAUAGAAGAGUGGAAGAAAAUAAAUGUGAAGAAAAAAAAAAAAGAAUCCAGUCAAUGGUAUUGAAAGUGCUUUGGAAAGUAUGUAGUAAUCAAAGACCAUUUCCAUUAAGAGCACAAAAGUAUAGAAUGUGCUUUUGACCAAUAAUGGUGUUGCAUGUAACACAUUUUCACUUAGAAGGUCCAUUUUCUUAUUCUUCUCUAAUUUUUUUUUUAAAUAAAUUUUUCCAUCUCUCCAACUGCAUUAUUUCCCAAGUACACGUUAUUGAGGAUGUAUGUUGGACGUUGGACGAUGGCAUUAAAUUGGUAGUGAAAGAUGUAGGGUAUGCUUGUGUUCAUUUGUCCAAUUUUCCUUCUUCUUUCUUCUGUACUUUUUUUCUAUUUUCUCACGACGAAACACUUUCUUGGUCAAAAUAGUGUGGUUACUAUAAAGACUGAAGAGGAGGGUAGAAGGGAAUGUGGUUGUUUGUGAUUUAUUUCUCCAUUUUGUUUUCCCUCCUUCCCCACGAAUUAAAGUGGCAAUCGUCAUGGCAAUUACCUAAUUUUUUUCAAAAAAAAAAAUAAGUGAUAAUUGUUCUGAUAUUUUCCAGUUCAGUGGCUGAUGGGUCCAGUAGAUUAACUCUACAGGCCGCUUCGAGGAAACCAUACAUUGGUUAUCUGAGGGAUGUGGAGAAGCUCAGUAGCCCAAUUAAUUGUUGGAAGCUAGGGCCCAACAAAAUGGUCAGCCAUCAGAGGGGCUUGGGGGGGAGCAAAUUAGUCAAUAGUAUGUAGCAAGACCAGCCUCUGUUACCGUGUUUGGCAAAAAAAAAAAAAAAAAAAAGUAAUAAGACCAGCCCCGCGAGUAGUCCGACUGGUUGCCUCGCUGUGUAUCCUUGAGGUAAGGCUCUAUACAUUUUUAGAAAAUUAGUCUGCACACCAGAACUAGGGGAUUAUAUUAUUGAGCACCCGUUAAGAGUGUUUAUUUUUUGCGAGAGGGUAGUCAAUUUGGGAAACUAUCUAAAUAUAGAGAUGGAAUAGAUGUGAAUUUAGGUAUAAUUUAGAUGUGUUGACGAGUGUUUAUUAGUCAUUCAUUAUGACAAAAAAAUUUCUAUAUUGUUUAAAGUGUUGGUUAACGAGUGCUCUUAAUGAGAGGUUUCAAGUGUUAAUUUUUUACAAAAGUAAAAUUGAUUUGAGAAAAUAUUGAAAUACAAAUGGACCAGUAAAUGUAAGUAUGUGUAUUCCCAUUAUAAAUUAAGUGUAAUUUAGAUAUAGUAUAAGUAACCGGAGGAAUUCAAGGACGUCAAUAUAUUCGAGUGCUUCAAGCAAUAUUCUCUCAUCAUAUCCACUAUCACCAAAAAUAUAUAUAUAUAUAUAUAUAAUAAGGAUCUGAUCUGUGUCAACUAAAAGAAAAGCUUUAACAAACUUCUCCAUAAUCAAGAUGAAUGGGAUUUGCUAUGAUGAUUUAGAGAGCUGAUUUAUAAUAAAGCAUGGUAGAGUGGAUUCUCGCCAACAACUUUACUACAACUCUAAUUGAUCAAAAGAAUUAAGAGGGUCCAUCUAUUUAACUUUCAAGUUUAGAAUGUGCAUAAAGAAAGAGGGCUCUGAUUAAUGAAAAUGCAAAGCUAAUGAUGAGAUUAGCACUGAGAGUAUAUGCAUUAGUAGCAAUCUUAAUUGCAGUUAGCCUUUAACACCAAGAGAUGCAAAAAUUGAGACCCACCAUAUCACAAUCCCCCUAUUGGAAUCAUAAUUCCCCAUUCACGAGGCAGGGCCAUGGAUCAAUACCAAAUAUAUUUUGUGAGACCAAAUAGUUCUCGAGCCAAAUUCCACCCUUGCAUAAUUUCUGGUCCAAUCAUGUAUUAAUUCAAUUCAUAGUAUGUGAGUUACACAUGUGAAUAUAGGGCGGCAUCAAGCUUCCUAUUUCUUUUCCUUGAUGGAGUUUGAAGUCCUGGAAAGUUUGCAUAAAAUAAGAAAAAUAUGUGCAUUGUAGAGUAAAUUAGUUCUACAAGAAAGGUAGAAGUGGAUCUAAGACGUUCCUUUUACAGUUUUUCUUUCUUUGUGCUCGCAAGCUAAGAUAUGUUCCUAAAAAACACAACAGCAAGCCGCAUAAUGCACCUUUUGCUAGGUUUCUUGUUUUAAAUAGCACCAAGCUGCUAAACUAUCAGUAUGUUGGCCUGGAAAAAGUGGUGCCAUUCUGGCAAUGGAUAUUCCUCCCAACCAAGAGAUUUAGACAUAGCAAUAAACUAUGUAAAGGCAGAAAAACAUAAAGGCUAAAGAAAGAAACCUGUCCAACAGCAAAGUGAUCUUUAGUUAAACUACAAUUUUCUCAUCAAGCCACGAACAAGAAAACAGGAACAGCAAUGCAGGUUGUACUAGGCACUUUUAUGUGGUUCAUCUGAUUCCUGAUUAAUCAAAGAAACAAGUCUUGAGCUUAAAGUAAUGCAAGUGAAGUGGCCGUGCCAAUUUAGUAUUCACACAUUGGACGUCUCAGUAAGAGUUCAAAAAUGUGUUGUUCUCCAAAGCUUCUAGCGAUUAGCAUGUGCAGUUCAUCAUGAUCAUCAUCAUAAUGAUGGUAUGGUUUUAUUCAACUUUGUGAUUUGGAAUCGUUAUGAUUAAUGAACCAGCGUUGGAAAGACUUGCUACCAAAAUGCAUAAUUGGCUAUCAAGUGCCUAUUUGAGAGUACUGUUCUAUUGCAGGAAUCAAGCAGUUGAACAUGAAAAGAGAGAUGGGGAACCAAAAUGCAUCAGGAAUAAAAGGCAUGUUUGUAUCAGAUGCUCAAGUCUGUAGUUUCUUAUGUUUGAACUUAUAUGUGUAGUUGAUGACCAUGUCUAAUUUAUAUCUAUCUGCUGUAGAAGAGGAGAAAGCAACAGUUAAAGUUCCGCAAGAACCCCAGGAAGCAGCUCGCGAAGACGAAAUGAAAGGAGAAAACCACAUAAUUCCUGAAGUUGACACUAAGGAUUUCCAGGAGAAAACAGAAUCUUCUGAUGAUUUCUCGGUUACUACAGAUUCUAAUGCUGAACGGCAUGAGUCAGAUGAAAAAGGUUAAUGCUUCCCCUUAUAACUCUAAACAUAUAAUUUUUAUCUAGUACUUAUGCUUCCCGGAUUCAACUACAGUAAGUUGAAAACAUGUAGUUUUCAUGUUAGAGCAAGGAAACAAAAAGUCUGAUCAGCCUCCUCCUCCAUAUCCUGAAGCUGCAAAAGAAUCAGAUCAUUUAGUCAGUCAGGAGAAUUAUGUCGAUGAAGCUGAUUCAGCCUAUGAGGCAAACCAUGAGAAACCACUAGAGUCGAACCUGGGCGAGAUUACGCCCAUAAAUGGCAAGAUUGAGAGUCAUGAAAACGGCAUCAUUCCAAGAGGUCAGUUCCUAAUACUUCUCUUAUAAGAAGGCACAUCAUUUAUGAAGUUAGAUUACGAUCUCAUCAAGAUCACCUUGUGUAGUAUUAUUAACAGCUUAAUAUACAAAUAUAGAAGAGUUUCAGGGAGACGAGAUAUUUUCCAUCUUAAAAUUUUUUCUUCAUUUGCAUGCCAGAAACCGAUGCACAGAAGGUUGAGAUCACUAACUCAAAUUCCAACAUAGAGAGCACUUUUCAAGAUUCAAAAACUGUUAAUGAUACCACCACACCGCUAGAAGAGCAUCAGAGUUCAUCAUCCCAUCAGAUUGAGGAAGUCAUAAAACUGAGUGUCACAUGUCACGUAGAGGAGAAAAAACAUGAUUGCAGUGAGAUCCAUAGGGAAGGAAAUAGGGACGAUUUGAUGCUAGAGGAGUCUCCUGAUGUAGAAGAUAAAUCAUUGGAAAUGAACAUUUGCAUAGAAGAAAGUGUCAGCAAGGCUAUAGAGGAAAAUGUUCAGCAUGGUCAUAGAAAUAAUGGUGAUAUUCAACUACCCCUGAAAGAUAAUUUGAACGACGUUUUAAGUUCACCAACUGAAACAGUUCCAGAAGUCAGUCGAAUAGGUCCUUCAUCUGAAACUCCUGAUCCAAAAAAGAAGCAUAUUGUCCUUGCUGAAGAGAUCAAUUUGACCAGUGAUGGAUCAGAAAAUCCAGAGAAAGAGCCUGACUCUGGUCGUGCUCAUUUUUCUGAUCAGAUGGCCUUGAUGGAUGAUGCCACUCCAGGAAUGAUUGAGCAAGAAGCUUGUAGCAAGGAGAAUGGAGAGGAAAAUACGGUUAAAAUGAGUUCUAGCCCUGAUUUGGACAUGGUUAAUCAGAAUAAGGGGACCAAAGUGAUUUAUACUGCUGCAGAACAAGAACCAGAAGAAUGCAGGGAUAAAAAGGUGGUCCUUGUGGUGCCUAAAACGAUUUCAGUGUCAAAUGGAUUGAGGUCUAUGGAUAAGUAUGAUGAAGGAGAGAAGGUAACAGAGAAUCUGUUAGUUGAAGAAACAGAAAAAAGAAACGAUGACUCGACUUCAACAGGAAAUGGCAGACAUAAUGCAGGGGCAGCAGAGGAGUCUUUGUCCAGCUUCGAGUCAUCUGAAGGGGAAAACAUUCCAGUUUCUCUAACGUCAACAUUCAACUUGGAAAAUGAUCUGCCUGCAGAUUCUCCCACUUCAUCAUUUAAUCAACAAUGGGACAAUGGAUUAUGCUCCAAGGCUGCAGAAGAUUGGAACAAAUGCACUGUCAACUUGAAACAAUGCAGCAGCUUUGAUGUCUUUAUUGCUGAAGUAUCUACUUCCAAUGCACAAAAAGCAUCCAUCCAAGCUCUUAAUCCCAGCAGUGCACUAGAAAAGGUAAACCAUGUCCAAGAACUUGAACAGAAUGUUCAAGCAAACUCAGUGACAGAAGGAGAUUACAAGCAACACUUGAUAAGCGAAACAUCUUCACUGCCAAGUUCAAAAGCACAAGAAAAUGCAGCAAGGGUAAGCAUUGAAUCAAAUCCAGAUCAUCCAGUUGCCCGAGUUAAGCAGAGAAAGUCCCCCAGCUUUGAAUUUGGCAUCCCAAUUGAUGCAAGAUCCGAAGAAUCUGAUCAAACUCCUCUACUGGUUCGCGACAAGUCUCUAGCCAGAAGCUUCUCAGGCCAUGCUAACGUAAGAUUCCAAAAUUCAAUGGUCCCAACUGAUUAUGGUCGAAAGUCAUUAGACUAUGAGCCAGUAGCAGUGGAAGAAAAGACCAUUAGAAUGGAAAGAAGCGAUUCAGACAUCUCGAGAGAUUUAUUCACCAGCUUAUUGAGGAAGGAUGAAAAGCCAACUGUUGAGCUUGCACCAGAGAAAAAAGAGAGCCAUAUUGCUGAUGACAAGGCAUUGGAAUCGCCAUCAUCUGAGGAACUUGCAUUGACUUCAAUCAAAACAAGUGGAAAACGCAGGCCAAGAUCUUCCCUUUUGAGUGCCUGCAUAUGCUGUACAGCAGCUAACAACUGAGGGCCAAGAAGAAACAUGCAUUUCCCUUCUACAUUUCUAUUUUUCAUGGUUGUUAUCUUGUUUAAUCUUAUCAUUUUUCCUUUUUUCAUUUAAUUUUUUUGCAAAACACUGUGAUAUUGAUUCCAUAGAUUGUUUUGUACCAUUUAAAAGAUGAUUUUGAGAGAUUGAAAGAAGUGAGAAAGGAAUAUGUCUUUGAGGAAGAAAGAGCGAAAUUGUGGAAAAAAGAAAAAUUGAAAGAAGUUCUUAGUGCCAUGGCUAUCAAUCUUCGUUUUGUUCUUUUUUUUUUGGGUAAAUUACAUUUUACCCCCCUGUGGUUUACCCUUUUUUUACAUAACCCCCUUGUGGUUUCAAAAGCUAUACAUAACCCCCUCAUGGUUUGGAUUAAAGUGUCAAAGUAAUGGAAAUAAUCACUCGUAACGGAAUUUCUAAAAAUGUCGAAAUUACCCUUAUAAAUACAUGACACAUUAACCCCGUAUGAUUUUUAUAUUUUACCAUAUAACCCCCUUAUGGUUUAAUAUUUUACCAUAUAACCCCCUUAUGAUUUUCAAAAUAUACACAUAACCCCCCUUGGUUAAUACAUAAAUUUCAACCCUGCAUAAGGGUAUUUUUGACAUUUUAGGUGACGCCGUUACGAGUAACUAUUUCCGUUACUUUGACACUUUAAUCCAAACCAUAAGGGGGUUAUGUAUAGCUUUUGAAAUCAUAGGGGGGUUAUGUGAAAAAAUGCUAAACCACAAGGGGGUAAAGUGAAAUUUGCCCUUUUUUUUUAUAUAGCUUUUGAAUAAAUUUAUUAUUCGUGUUGAUUGUAGUUCUGGAUUCCGAUUUCACAUGUAAACUUCAAGAAUCUGAGGAUAAGAGUACUAUUAUUGUUUGGAUUUGUUGCCAUUGCUUUUUCAGAUCGUGAAUUCUAUUUGCUCCUUUGGAGAUAAUCGCUUUUUUCGUGUCAAAAGCCUCAACCUCCAAAUGUAAACUGUUCACGCCUAUGAAGAACUGGCUAGUGCUGGAUUUUGGCGAAGGUGGUGCAGCAGCCCCUAAAUUAUGAAAAAAUAUAUCAUGUCUAUUUUAGAUCCUUUAGAAACUGCAGAAAAUUAUUACUUCCUCAUGUACAACUCACCCCCACACCCAAAAAAAAAAAAAACUUCAAAACAAAUCAUUUUUAGUAUUAAAAACUAUACCUUAUACAAUCAACGAUUGGCCUAUAAUUUUUGUUUUGCGUCCUAACUUUAGGGCUUUUUCUCGGUUGAUUAUUUUAAUUGAUUAUAGAUUUUGAUUUUCGAUAAUCAGUUUUGUGAUAUUCUCAGUUACUUUUGUAUUCUGAUUAUAGAUUUUUUAAUGAUAAAAAAAUAAAAUCUAUAAUCAAUUUCUGUAAUCAGAUUUUGUAAAAUCUAAAACAAUCGAGAACAAAGUCUUAAUUACUUUCUACUUCAUUCUGUGUCUAAAAAGACAUAGAGAUGAGCAGACAUAAAUGGUGCAAAACAAGAAUUUCUAGUAAUUUUGUUUUGAUUCAAAUUGCAUGAAAGCUUCCUUCUAUUUUUGACAAAAAUGGUUUCGAUCAUGCAAUUGUGCAAUAAUUUCCUUGGUAAUUUGUCCUUCACAAACCAUAAUAAAAGUUCUUCUUGGAUGAGUAUAUGAUGUGUACUAGCAUAGUUGAGCAAUACACAAGAGAUAAUACAAAAUUUUUGUUUUUAGGUGGGAUUUUCUCCAUAAAAUGUUUGGCAAUUGGGUGGGGACUGGGGAACACGACACCGACUCCUGUAACUCAACGAUGAUCAGUUUGCUUACGUAAAACCCACGCUAGAGUCGGUGAUCACCUACCUUGUGAUUUGUGGACUGAUUCAGCAUUUUGAAUAUCUUUUGCCCCUCAAAUGCAAUAUUAAUUUAUGACCUUGAAAUAUUGACAGGGAAAUUCUGGUUCCCCCAGGUCAUCGCUUAACUGUGUCUGAUGAAGACUCCUUAAUUUAGCUAUUUAAUCCUUUUAAAAAUACAAUAUUCUAGAAGCAUGAUCAAAUUAAAGUCUAGGUAAUUGUAAUUGACCAAAUUUAAGGCACAGAGUGGUUUUUUUUUUUUCAUUUUCUUUUCUUUCUUUUAACUGCUACUGUAAUAUAUGGUAUGUGGGAAUUGAAUUAUUAAAAUUUUUUCCCUACUUACGCCCUUAAUGGCUUGAGUUGAUGCUUUGACCUCUCAGUUAAGAACCUAUAGACUAUGUUUGGUAAUUAAAAUUAUUGCUGCCACAUUUUGCACUUCUCAAAUAGAGAUGUCUCCUUUGUACUUUUGGGUACUAAUAUUUUUUUCCCCUUUCUUCCCUGGCAAUCGAUGAAAUACCUUACAAUCUUUGGCCAUGACACACUUACUAACUUAGAGCUAAUUUAGGGAGUUAUAUCUGAUUAUUGAUUCCAUUGUUUUUUUAAAACUUAGAUGGCCAAUAGCCAAUCAUAAAAGCUUCAGACGUCUAGAUAAAUCUUAUCAUCCAACUACUUUGAUCAUUUCUUUUAGGAUUAAUCUUUCUUACACCGACAAUCUAUAUACACUAUCACCGUUGAAUUCGAGAUAGUGAAAUUCAAUUUCUACACAUAUGUCAUGAAUUCAACAGUGAUAACGUAUACACUGUCGGUGUAUAUAAGAUUUACUCUUUUUUUAUUAAAAAAAAGUACAGAUGAAUUCAACUCCGAUCACCAUUAUGAAAGAGGGCAUUACUUCGAUCAUUGCUUUGCUUGUUCUCUAGUAAGUGAGGCAACAAAAUUUCAUUUGCAUUUUAAUCUGGAAAAGACCUUCGAGUAGUAGGUCCAACCCAUAUUAGGCUUCACUUGAGAAGUUAAAUAAACUAUAAACGACUAAGAAAUGAGGCAGUUACAUAUGCAGCUUUUGGAUAGGGAAGAAUAGGGGUUAGAUUCUCAGUCAAUGCCUCCAGAAGAGGUCAACUGAAAUUUCAAAGCAACAAACCUUCAACAACCAGUAUUUGGUGAUGAAAAUAACAGGUAUGACUAAAUUAAAGUUGACCUAUAAGAAAGCAAAGAAUUAAAGGGCAAUAAGCACGCAAAGAAUACGUAUAAUUUUUUCAAAGAGUUUGCGGUGUAAGAGAAAUUUUUAUUCUUCAGCUCUAAUUAUUACACAAUGAUAUAGUUUAUGAAACAAAAGUAUUCCCUCCGUCACAUUGUUAAUGUCAUAUUUGCACUUUAUUGAUAUUUCAAAAUAAGAGUCACCAUUUCAAAUUUAACACAUACUUUUUAAUCUUGCCAUUUGAAAAAACAACUUUUUAAAAUCUCAAUGCACAUUAAACAAGAAAAUAUUUUGAAUCUAAAGGAUAUAUAUAUAUAUAUAUAUAUAUAUAUAUAUAUAUAUAUGUGUGUGUGUAAAUUCAUCAAUAUCGCCUCAUCUAAACAUAAUGAUUACUAUAUCUUCAUAAAAAAUUAGAUUCCUAAAAAAAACGACUCUAAUAUUGGGAUGGAAGGAGUAUAUACUAAUCAUGAAUGAUAAAACAAAAAAGGUUAUUCUUGUUUUUAUUGUUAAAUUCGUGAUUUAAGCUCCUUUAUUUCCCUGUCAGUAUUGGAUAGUAUCAUCCAAGUCUUCAAUGACCAAGAACAAAAACGCGUAUGACUGUACUACUACACAUCGGUCCAUGAACUGCAAAAUGUUUGGGAGUCGAGGGAGAAAACCAACAAUUAAUACAGUGAUACUUUUCUUCUUAAUAGUUAAGGAGCCUAAAUCUACCACAAAAUAGUCAACUUUGUUGGGGUUAGUAGUGAACCAUACAAGAAAUUGCAAUAUGAAUUUACGACAAUGGUAGUGGUUCCAAAAAUAAGAGAUGACUUGUUAUAUUUUCCAUUUCAUUUUUGAUAUAUAGCAGAGUUGUGUUUGGAUUGCAUUUUCCAUCAUUUUUCAUGGAAAAAUUACUGUAACGAUUUGAUGUAUGUGAGGGAAAAAGGUAAUAGGAAAAUGGGAUCACGGAAAACUACGUAAUUUUCCGACGGAAAACAGCAAUCCAAACAAGGCCGAUCAUCAAGAAAAUAGUCAAUAAAAUCGAUGUUUUGUCUUUAAUUCAAAUGAAUUACUACUAAUUCAGAAGCAAGUUAUGGUGUAAUGGAACCAUUAGGGUCCGUCCACUGAUCAAACAAGGGUUCUUAGAGUUCUUUCCACUAUCAGAGUUAGGGUUUGAGUGCUAGUUGAAGGUUGAAAGAGCAUGAAAAGGAGUUGGAGAAUAAAAAAAAAUUAUGAUGUAAUGGAACGAAAUGUGUCUUUUUUUUUUUUUCAAGUUUUGACUGUGAUAUAAGACUACCUGGAAUAGUAGUAUUUGAGCAUUGGAGCCUGAAUUGAAAGGAGAAAACUCGUGAAGAAUUGGCUUGGAUCACAAAUGAAAGAAUACAAUAAAUACUUUUUUGUUUCCUUCAAGAAGAUGAAAGAAUCCAAUACAUAGUUAAUUAAAUUGGAUUACAAUCACCCUAUACUAAGUUAACAAUUGACCAAACCAUUGAAAGAAAUAGAUUUUAAGAAUACAAAUUAGUAAAAGAGAUUAAUCUGAAUGGAUCACAAUCAAUGAAAAUCAAGUCCUAGCAAUUAUCCAACGGUCGUCAUCAUCUUAACAAAUUCAUCAUAAUUGACUUGACCAUCACCAUCCAAAUCAGCCUCUCUGAUCAUCUGCUCCACCUCUUCAUCAGUCAGUUUCUCCCCUAGAUUGAUCAUCACGUGCCUCAGCUGCAUGGGAUCAAAGAGUUUUCUUUUUUGUUAUUGCUUUCCUUCAGACUCCACAAUAAUCACUAAACUAUUGGGCAUGAAAAAGAAAGUCAAAAAGGUGUAUUCCUUCUUGGGUGAAGUUCAUUGCAUAAGACAUUUCUUGGUAUAUAUUAAUAUAACUGAGAUGCCCCAGUAAGCUAGAUGAAACAACUGUAAAACCAUGCUAAUUUAUUAACUAAUUUGAAACUUUGAAGCAUUGACAGAUCAAUUUCCAUGUGAACUACUCGCUGUACCAUUUUAGCGCUCGCAUGGAACCACAUUCGUUUUAUACACAGCAAGAAUGAUUCGGAAGUUUCAAAAAAAAAAAAAAAAAAAGAAUGAUUCAAAAAGGGAACAUUUCCCAACAAAUUUUUACGUUUUUUGUGAGUAUAUUAUCCUAUCACCUUUUUAUCUCAUAUACAUUGAAUUGUUACAUUAUUUUUUUUUCUAUAGAAACUUCAAAAACUAAUAAAUGUCCAAACGGGUUCUUUAAGGCAGUAUGCCAGACUUUUCUAUCUUUUGGAAAGUCACCAUAUUUUGAUUUACUUGACCAUUCAUACUAGCCACGACUUAUUUACUUUGUCUUUUCAACAUUUGAAGUGAAACAGUUAUCAUGGCCUGCAACACUCCUAAAAGUAUUCCUGCCUGAUCAAGAACAGAGCAAAGUACCAAAACUCAUUAUAUGUAUAUUCAUGGUUGUGUAAAUUCCUCCCCCCCCCCCCCCCAAACAAACCACCAAAAAAAGAACUUGAUAAAAGAAUGCACCAAAUAAGGGUUUACAUGUCAGUUCGAUUCAAAAGGAGUGUGAAACAACGUUUUUUAUUUAUUUAUUUAUGUUACUUUCUGCAAUUUCAAGACAAAAGCAAUUGGUAUGGGGACUAUCGGCCAGCUCUUACCUCACUGGCUGAAAUGUAACCAUUUUGGUCUUUGUCAAACACUUUAAAAGCCUCUUUAAGCUCCUCCUCUGCAUCGGUUUCCUGUUUCAGCACCCAGAAAAAAAAAUGAUAAGAAUACCAUCGUGAGUGAUCAUACAUCAUUGUUAUUAGUAUAUUUACUAUUGUGAUCAUGUUAUGUGUGUAUAUAGUAUAUAUGGACAUCAACUUUUGUACCUUAAUCUUUUUGGCCAUGAGGUUCAAGAAUUCCGCAAACUCAAUGGUUCCAUUUCCAUCAGCAUCAACUUCACUAAUCAUGUCCUGCAGUUCUUCCUCACUUGGAUUUUGAUCCAGUGACCUUAUCACAGUGGCCAAUUCUUCAAUGGUGAUGCAACCUGUUGUGAUAUUAGUCAUCAAAAUCACAUCGUCAGUACAAAAUGAUCAAUUCCUUUUGUCAUUCAUUUGCUAUACAAAAAUGUUCCCGACCAGACGUGCCCUCGUGCAGAUACCCAUAUAGUAUGCCGUAUGUUUUUCGCAGAAGAGUGUUAUAAUGAGAUUGAGCAAAAGACGAAAUGAGAAAGAUGAAGAUAUAUAUAUAUAUAUAUAUAUUGUUGUAUUUAAAGAAAGAAUGGAGUAAAACGAACCAUCUCCAUCCUUAUCAAACAGACUAAAGGCUUCCUUGAACUCGACAAUCUGUUCUUGAUUGAGUACUUCUCCCAUGGUUCUCCUCCUAUUGUUUGAGUUUGGAACUUGAAAAAGCGUGUGUGAAAGAGAAGAGGUCAGGUCUACCAAACCAAAAAAAGGGAGAAAGAGAGAAGGCAAUGACUAAAGAGACAAAUUGUGAAACGAGAGAGAGAGAGCGAGAGAGAGAGAGAGGGGGCGAGAUGAGCAUAGCUCAAGCUUAGCUGGGGUUUAUGUAGGAAGAAUUCUAAUGUGACAACGCACCACUACAAUAUCCUUGCAUUGAAAUUUGCCAGAAAAUUCAAAAGUGAAAUAGUAGUAUAUUAAACAAGUAGUAGUAGUGAUAAUUAGUCAAACAUCACAGUAAUUAGACAAAUGUAAACUAGCUUUUCCCUGAGUAUUGUGUUUGGAUUGCCGAAUUAUCUCAAAUGAUAUUUCACUUGCAUCAUAAACAUAUUUUCUAAUUCAUCUUUUUAUAUUCUCAACUACUUUUUAUUUCAUAUAAAUCAUAUUAUAAAAAGUGUUAUAGUAAUUAUUUCAAAUAAUACUACUCUAUCAAAACACACUUGUUUGUGACGGGAUGGGUAAUGUAUGCGAGUAGAGGAAGGGCUAGGACUCGAUGAAAAAGACUUUCGAUAGCUGGAAAGUAAAUGAUGUCAAUCAAUUCAAAAAGUUCUUUCCACACCAAAGAACAGACUACGGUUCAAAAUGAGAAUAUGACUUUGAAUAAUUUGGUGCUAUAUUCCUGGAUGAGAUUUUGUCUCGGAAACCCAUUUGACAAAUAAGUUUUUUUUUUUUUAUGUUUAUCUAAAAUUUUAGUAUAAUUUAUUAUAAAAUUUGUAAAAACAAUUUUUUGAGGCUAGUAAAAACUUUUCUUUAAGAAAAAAAAACUUUCCUUGUUUCCUUUUGUUUUUACUUUUUUCUUUCUUUUUCUUUUUCCCUUUCUUUCCUCUUCUCUUCUUCUCCCCCCAUUGGCCAACCAUCGUCACCAACACCUCCACAGGCAAUCAGCGCCCGCGAUCCUUUUUUCUGUUUCUCUCUCUCUCUCUCUGUCCAAAUCUGAUCGUGACGGCGGAGAUGGUGGUGGAUUGAGGAGGGGGGAAGGAAUAAGAAUAAAGGAAGGAAGGUAAUUUGUUUGUGUCUUUUUUAGUAUUUUAAAGUGUAUUUUUGAAAUUUUUAAGAAAUUUUUUUAGAUUACUAUAAUUAAGUUGUUUAAAAAUUUGUAGAAAAAAUUUGAUAAAAAAAACUCCUUUGCCAAACCGGCCCACAAAUACCCAAACAAAAAAAAAAAGAAAAAAAUCUGGUUAUGAAAAGAAUUAUUAAAAAAACUUUUCUUGAACAUUUUCUAACAAUUUUUUUUAUUUUAAUUCAUAUAUAUACAUCACAUCACAAAAUUAUUACAGUAAACUAAUUAUAUAUAUAUAUAUAUUCCAAACUACAUGUAACAAAAUAAUUAAUCAGCUUGACUGACCCUGGUUGACCCUUCAAAUCUUAGACGAUUUGGUUCGAUGUAAUGUAUCUGUUCACAUUGUGUACUAAUUCCAUGUAUGGAUAAAAUUCGUAUAUUAGGUUAAUCUUGUGAGAAAUGGGAAUUUUGCAUAAGAUAAUUUUGGCCAGCUGUUUUGGUUCAAUACUGAGGGGACAAAGAGCAUUCAAAGAGAAGACCAGUGAGCGUAUGGCCGUAUUGGGAGGUGUGGGCUCUGCACUGUGCUUAGCAUUGAAAAAUUUUCACCCACAGGUCGAGCUGCAUUACUUUCACCAGGCUUACACUACUGAUUCAACACAAUUUUUACACCUGAUUUUAUUUGAUUAAUUUUGAGCCACUAACCUAUGGUGCAAUCUUUAUGGGGAUUUUCUUUUAUUUCUUAUUUUUUUGAACAUAUAUAUAUAUAGCAGAUCUGUGUUUAUCAUAAUUUUGUUAGGAAAGAAACAAAGAAAUAGAAAACACACCAUUUCAACGUUACUUAGUGAUACCCUUUUCACUCCCCACCAUAACCAAAAAGAGGGGAAAAAAAAAAAACUACGUUACUUCUUGUUCCAUAUGAGUAAGGGGGUGUUUGGUAAACGACUAUGAGAAGCAGGAACGGCUAAUGAUAUCAGGUUUGUUUGGAUAGAGUAUUAUUUGAACUAAUUACUGUAGCAGUUUUUGUGACGUGAUGUAUAUGAAAUAAAAAGGUGAUUGAAAGUAUAAAAAGGUGAGUUGGAAAUUGUAUUUAUGAUACAAACAAAAUAUUAUUUGAGAUUAAUUCACUAUCCAAACAAACUAAAUUGUUUAAAAUCACUAUAUAUAUUAUUGUUUGGUAGAUGAUUACGAUAUUUAAUAGGAAUAGAAGUGUAGAUCAUGUACUAUAUCAUUUUCCGUUUAUGAGUUGGGUUUUAAAUUGAUCUAACUUUUUAAUAGAAUGAAAUCCACACCACUUCCAAACCAAAUAUGUGGGACCUGUUUGACGCUAAGGUGGCUUAUUAAAAGCCACUUAAUUAAUAGAGUUUUUGAUCAAAGUACUUGUUAAGCGCUUAAUCACAUUAUUGUUCGGAUACAUACUUAUAUAAGUACUUCUUCUAUUUGAUAACGUGUAAUUUUGAAUUCUAAUACAUAUUUAUCUCUUCAUUCAGUUCGAACACUUGUAAUACAAUUAUUAAAGUUAUUUUUAUUAUUUAGAAUAGAAAAGUUGUUUUGAAAGUACCAAAUUUGAACUUAUACUAAAAGAACUUUACUGGGCAAAAACUUUACUGCUCAUUUCAAGAAAUGAGAUGUUCACCAAACGCGUUAAAAAUAUUCUUAUUUUAUAAAAGCACCUUUUUUUUUUUAAGUAAAAGCACCGCGAUUUCAAAUAGGACCUAAGAAAGUUAUUUGGUGCUUACAAUUAAUUUAUUAGUAAUUGUGUACAACUUCGAGCGCUGCGCUCUAACCACUUAUGUUACUAUUGCCAAUAAUACCUUAGGAUUUGUAUAUCAAAAUAAUAAAAUAAUAAUAAUACCUUAGGAUUUGUAACAUAAAUCGAUGAAUAAUUUAAUCGGAUGACAUAAAUGUUGCAUGGCUGGCAACGCGGUUUUACUUGCCAUUGGCUCACCUGCCGAGGUGCAUUUCCUUUUCCAAUCUUUAUUUCCAGAAAUCUGAUUUUUGGCUAGAACAUUUAUUUUCAAUAAACCCCCUGAUUUAAGGUAAUUUCACAAAAAGACCAGUCACAGAAUCCAGUCCUAGAUUUAAAAAAUAAUAAAUAGAUUAAUGUGUUCGAAAUACAAAAAUAUUUCAUGUAUCUAUCUACUUGCAGAUGUAUAAACAGACAUGCAUCAAAGAAUAACAUGGCAUGGUACAGUACGAACUGCUUUUUUUGUCAAAACACGAAGGGUCUGUUUGAUUACAUAAAAAAGUGCUGAAUCUGAAUUUUUUCAGACAUUCAGAUGUUUUGAUUGUUUGAUAAAUGAAAAUCUAUUUGCUGAACUUGUUAAGUAGUGCUGAACCUGUGUGUAUUUUUUUCAGCACAAGAAUCCUAAUUGAAUGCUUAAUUCUGAUAAGAAUCAGUAGAAUUACUUCAACUACCUUAUCUUAUCUACCAAAUCUACCAUUGUUUGUUAAUUACGUUCAAAAUUCUUAUCUAAUUAAACAACCUAAUAUUCUCUAUCUAACGAUUUUUAGUUUCUCUUUUCUCCCUUUUUAAUGACUUUCACAUCUUCUUCGUACUCCUCAUAUAAUAUAUUUCAUCUUUUAUAUUAAUUUAAUUUAAAAAAAAUAUUGUCAUUUUCAUACCUAACAAAUUUAAAUUAAUUAAAUCAUAGAUUCUAUUUCUUUUUUGAAGGAUAUAAGAGCAAAAUUGUCAAAUUAAACUUAUUAAGCAUUCAACUAUAAAUAUUUAUCAAAUAGUAUAAAUAGAUUUAGUAUUAAAAUUCAGACAUUUAUAUAUUUUUUUCGGUGCUUAAAAUUCAGUAAAUUAAUUAUUUCAGUAUUCAGAUUUCAGAAUUCAGAAUUCAGUUUUAUCAAACGGAACCAAAGACAAAUGAACUGCUGAAUUCGAAAAUCUGCAGUGUUGAAGGGGUGAAUAGAAUUAUUCGACCAAGAAAAUGACAAUGCCUUGCGAUUAAGGCUCUUGAGGAGGCUAUAGUUGGGUAGAAAGAACUGGAAAAAAGAAAAGUGGUCGGUGAUGGUCUAACUUUUGGACUCACUCUGUCCAUUUGAAGGAGUCAAGAGAACUAGAUGUUAUUGACUGGUUUGAUCCCUUCUUGCUGAAAAUUUCAACUCCAAGAUUGUUCUUCUAAGUUCUAAAUGGCAUCCCUAUAUUGCUACAUUUAUUGUAAACUUCAAACUGUCACUAUUAGACUCAUAUCAGUGCCAUUGAAACUUUUUCCAGAAUGAUUUUUCAUGUUCCCUGAGAUCAACCCACAUUAUCAGGGAUUCCAAAACCAAAACAAUAUUUUAAAAUACGAUAACAAAACAGCCCACUAGAAUGAAGUCCCUUCCCAAGUAUAGAAUUCUUUCGCUCUAUACAGGGCUUAAAUUUUAAUCGUUGCAACAGCAAAAUGUAGAGAAAAUUAGAACAUGAGGUAGACCAUAAGAAACUUCGAACAUUUCUACUAAAGAUUACAGAAUUGUGAUACCAGUAGCUCACAAAAUUCAUAGCAGGGUUUCGCAGUUCCACUAACAAGGUACUUUCCCCAAACCCCAGGGGCAAAAAAAAAAAUUUCUUAAACUACUUGUUAAAUCCUAGGCAACACUAAAUGUCUUCCAGUAAGUCAUCUUAUUUAACAUGUACUUAAAAAUGCUAUUUCUGCAUAGUC